AGAGAAGAUAUAAAGGGCCCACGGUGGAUGCCUGGGCACCCAGAGUCGAAGAAGGACGUGAUAGGCUGCGAAAAGCCUCGUGGAGCUGUCAAAUAAGCGUAGAUGCGGGGAUAUCCGAAUGGGGAGACCCGCCAGGUAGAAGGCCUGGCAUAUAUAGUUGAAAGAAGUAGGCUAUAUAGGACAAGCAGGGGAAGUGAAACAUCUAAGUACCCUGAGGAAAAGAAAUCAAAAGAGAUUCUCCAAGUAGCGGCGAGCGAACGGGGAUGAGUCAAAAAGGCUAUGGUGUAAGCCUGCAAGCGUUGCCAUAGUCUGGUGUGGAUGUAUUGUACUUAUCUUUGCAGAGAUAAGGCUGCUUAAAAACGAGCUUUAGACGAAUAGCCUGGAAAGGCUAACCAGAGAAGGUAACAGUCCUGUAGUUAAAAAGGCAAGUUAGUGGUAAUACAAUCCGAAGUAGCACGGAUCACGAGGAAGUCCGUGUGAAGCAGGGGGGACCACCCUCCAAGACUAAAUACUCCUGGGUGACCGAUAGCGAACAAGUACCGUGAGGGAAAGGUGAAAAGAACUCCGGAAGGAGAGUGAAAUAGAACCUGAAACCGUGGGUUUACAAACAGUGGGAGAGCAGAUAAAAAGGCUCGACCGCGUGCUUUUUGUAUCACGAACCGGCGAGUUACACUCUGUAGCGAAAGGUUAAGCUGAAAGCAGCAAAGCCGUAGCGAAAGCGAGUCUUAAGAGGGCGCAAGUUGCAGGGAGUAGACCCGAAGCCAGGUGAUCUAUCCAUGACCAGAGUGAAGCGGGAGUAAGACCCCGUGGAGGCUCGAACCGCGGUGGCGUUGAAAAGCCAUGGGAUGAGUUGUGGAUAGGGGUGAAAGGCCAAUCGAACCUGGAUAUAGCUGGUUCUCCUCGAAAUAGCUUUAGGGCUAGCCUUAGAGAAAAGAUAUACGGCUGUAGAGCACUGAUUGGACUAGGGGCCCAACAAGGUUACCGAAUCCAUUCAAACUCCGAAUACCGUAUAUUGUUCUCUAGGAGUCAGACUAUGUGGGAUAAGCUUCAUAGUCGAAAGGGAAACAGCCCAGACCACCAGCUAAGGUCCCCAAGUAUAGACUAAGUGGGAAAGGAAGUGAGGUCGCCAAGACAACCAGGAUGUUGGCUUAGAAGCAGCCAUUCAUUUAAAGAGUGCGUAAUAGCUCACUGGUCAAGUGGCCUCGCGCCUAAAAUGUAACGGGGCUAAAGUCUAUCACCGAAGCUGUGGAU
rnacentral:rRNA from 1 species